rnacentral:rRNA from 1 species
UGGGGAAUCUUGCGCAAUGCGCGAAAGCGUGACGCAGCAACGCCGCGUGGGGGAAGAAGGCCUUCGGGUUGUAAACCCCUUUCAGUUGGGACGAAGCUUCGGCGGUGAAUAGCCGGCUGGAGUGACGGUACCUUCAGAAGAAGCCCCGGCUAACUACGUGCCAGCAGCCGCGGUAAUACGUAGGGGGCAAGCGUUGUCCGGAAUCAUUGGGCGUAAAGAGCGUGUAGGCGGCUUGGUAAGUCCGCUGUGAAAGUCCAGGGCUCAACCCUGGAAUGCCGGUGGAAACUGUCAAGCUUGAGUCCGGAAGAGGCGAGUGGAAUUCCUGGUGUAGCGGUGAAAUGCGCAGAUAUCAGGAGGAACACCAAUGGCGAAGGCAGCUCGCUGGGACGGUACUGACGCUGAGACGCGAAAGCGUGGGGAGCAAACAGGAUUAGAUACCCCCGUAGUCC